ACGUAGGGAGCAAGCGUUGUCCGGAAUUACUGGGCGUAAAGGGUGCGUAGGUGGCCAUGUAAGUCAGGUGUGAAAGACCGGGGCUCAACCCCGGGGUUGCACUUGAAACUGUGUGGCUUGAGUACAGGAGAGGGAAGUGGAAUUCCUAGUGUAGCGGUGAAAUGCGUAGAUAUUAGGAGGAACACCAGUGGCGAAGGCGACUUUCUGGACUGUAACUGACACUGAAGCACGAAAGCGUGGGGAGCAAACAG
rnacentral:rRNA from 1 species